rnacentral:rRNA from 1 species
UAGGGAAUCUUCGGCAAUGGGGGCAACCCUGACCGAGCAACGCCGCGUGAGUGAAGAAGGUUUUCGGAUCGUAAAGCUCUGUUGUAAGAGAAGAACGUGUGUGAGAGUGGAAAGUUCACACAGUGACGGUAACUUACCAGAAAGGGACGGCUAACUACGUGCCAGCAGCCGCGGUAAUACGUAGGUCCCGAGCGUUGUCCGGAUUUAUUGGGCGCAAAGCGAGCGCAGGCGGUUUAAUAAGUCUGAAGUUAAAGGCAGUGGCUUAACCAUUGUUCGCUUUGGAAGCUGUUAAACUUGAGUGCAGAAGGGGAGAGAGGAAUUCCAUGUGUAGAGGUGAAAUGCGUAGAUAGAUGGAGGACCACCGGUGGCGAAAGCGGCUCUCUGGCCUUUAACUGACGCUGAGGCUCGAAAGCGUGGGGAGCAAGCAGG